CCUACGGGCGGCUGCAGUGGGGAAUAUUGGACAAUGGGGGGAACCCUGAUCCAGCCAUGCCGCGUGUGUGAAGAAGGCCCUCGGGUUGUAAAGCACUUUCUGUGAGGAAGAACGCCUGGUGGUUAAUACCCAUCAGGAAAGACAUCACUCACAGAAGAAGCACCGGCUAACUCCGUGCCAGCAGCCGCGGUAAUACGGAGGGUGCGAGCGUUAAUCGGAAUUACUGGGCGUAAAGCGCGCGUAGGUGGCUUGAUAAGCCGGUUGUGAAAGCCCCGGGCUCAACCUGGGAACGGCAUCCGGAACUGUCAAGCUAGAGUGCAGGAGAGGAAGGUAGAAUUCCCGGUGUAGCGGUGAAAUGCGUAGAGAUCGGGAGGAAUACCAGUGGCGAAGGCGGCCUUCUGGACUGACACUGACACUGAGGUGCGAAAGCGUGGGUAGCAAACAGGAUUAGAUACCCUGGUAGUC
rnacentral:rRNA from 1 species